rnacentral:snoRNA from 1 species
AGUGAUGAUUUAACCUGAAAAUAGCUGGAAUUACCGGCAGACUGCAGGUGGUGAGAAGGGUUUGUCUGA